rnacentral:lncRNA from 1 species
GGAUGAGGCAAGAUCGGCUCUGGGAUCACUCACUGUUCUUCCUGAAGGAGGAGUGACUGGCCAGCGGCACCUGAACCCGGCGCCCCGGAGGUGAACCCAGACAGACCCGAGGAGGAGCCUGUGUCCUGUGCCCUUGGGAGGCUUCUCACUGGUUAGUGCGUGUGUUCGUGCGCGCGUGUGUGUGUAUGUGUGUGUGCACGUGUAUUUGUGCCUGUGUUUGUAUGCGUGUUUUCUCUGCAGGUUCCGGAGCCAUCGUGGCUGCCAUCGUGGUGGUUGUCGUCAUCAUUGUCACCUUGGUGCUGAUCUUGCUGAAGAUGUACAACAGGAGAAUGAGGACCAGGCGGGAGCUGGAGCCCAAGAGCCCAAAGCCACCUGUCCCUCCUGCCCUGGACCCAAACAGCAAUGGCAGCCAGCAGCCUGCCGCUGUGACCUCCGACCCUGCCGAUGUCCCUGUGGAGACUCGGUGACCCUGCCUUGGUGCCAUCCCUGCCUGUGCAAAGAGCUCGUAUGACCUGAAAGUCCACUCUGCUGGCAGCUUCACCGAGUCCUUUCUGGUUGGGUAAACUGAGGCACGUUUCAUACAGCCCCUGCAGCUUGAAGCCUUCCUCACCUACAUUGUGCUCUGGCCAUCCCAGCUUUGUCCGUGUUCCUGCUGCCACUCAACCAAAGCUCUGAGGACAUUCUUUUGUUAUCUGAUGAGAAGCACUGUGCUGGGG